rnacentral:rRNA from 1 species
UACGUAGGGUGCGAGCGUUGUCCGGAAUUACUGGGCGUAAAGAGCUCGUAGGCGGCUUGUCGCGUCGGAUGUGAAAGCCCGGGGCUUAACUCCGGGUCUGCAUUCGAUACGGGCAGGCUAGAGUUCGGUAGGGGAGAUCGGAAUUCCUGGUGUAGCGGUGAAAUGCGCAGAUAUCAGGAGGAACACCGAUGGCGAAGGCAGGUCUCUGGGCCACUACUGACGCUGAGAAGCGAAAGCAUGGGGAGCGAACAGG